CUAGAAUUCAAUUCAGCCUGCUGGGCUCUCCUUGACUUGUCCCAUGCUGGUGAGGAUCCUACAAACCUUCCUUCGAGUUUUUACUACACAGGCCAGACUGCAUUAACAAGAAAAGCCUAGAGCAAAGAGAAAUAUUGGUCAGCAGCUAAAUGAGCUACAUGAUGUGUCAUUCAUAGACAAGAAAAACAGUUUUGAUGCAUUUUCUUCUGUGUGGGACUCACUAACAUCCAAAUCGAAGAGGACUACUUAAAAGAUCCAGGGAGGUAACUGAUCCAGUGCUGGCCAGGGCUUUGAUCCCAAUCUUACUGUGGAAGGAAUUUCCCCACUGGGGAAGACUUGAUUCUAGAUGUGGAGUCCAUGUUGAAUGUGUGGAUAGACAGAUCCAAUCCAAAGACAAAAGAGAGCCUGCACCCAACUGUGUGGCCAGUGAAACACUGUUGCUGAAUGUUCUGAAGUUGAAACACUCUCACUCACCAGACUGUUGUAGCAAACAUUCACUCUGUGGGGUGUGGGUGAGGAAUGGGGUCUAAAUCCUCUUGGAUGCUGCACAGCGGUUUCUUGAUGUUCUCUGUGGCCCGCCAGGAAGGCCAAGUUCUUGAACUCAUCUGUAUA